CAAACCCCUGGCAAGCAAUUUUGUCUACGCAAUGCAUUUCACGAAGGACUAUCUGUUUGUCCCACUGGUGUACGUGGCCGGAAUACUCCAGUACCCCGACUUCAAAGAAACUUACAUAACUAUGUCUCUUGUGGAUGCCUUUAAAGCAAUUUUUCGACAUUUGUUCGAGCAACGUG